rnacentral:rRNA from 1 species
UACGUAGGGUCCGAGCGUUGUCCGGAGUUACUGGGCGUAAAGCGCGCGCAGGCGGCGGUAUAAGCAUGGCGUGAAAGCCCCAGGCUCAACCUGGGAGGGUCGUCGUGGACUGUACCGCUUGAGGGCGAUAGGGGCUGGUGGAAUGCCUGGUGUAGUGGUGAAAUGCGUAGAGAUCAGGCGGAACACCGGUGGCGAAGGCGGGUCUCUGGGCCGAUACUGACGCUGAGGAGCGAAAGCGUGGGGAGCGAACAGG